rnacentral:lncRNA from 1 species
CAACCAAAAUGGAUAUUAUUCCUCAAGAGAAUUAGUUAUGAUCCCCGGAGAUCCUGCGGAGAUCUCAACGAUUCCUAGUGUGAAAAAGUAUAGAGAAUGUGAAACCGUUGGCAUCGCCUGCUCGUUUUUGCUCCAUUGGUCAAAAAUACGCAUUCUUUGAAGCAGUGAAACGACGUCGAUGAUGAGAAUUCAGAUAGCGAUUAGAAUUCGGGCUUUUGGACCACUGUGCAUUGGUCAAAAAUACGCAGUCUUUGAAGCAGUGUUUUGUCGACUCGGUCGGAGCCUCGUGGCCCGCCUCAUGGGAUUAGUGUAGCGGGGCGACGCACACAACGUCAUUCAUCGAAACGACGUCGAUGAUGAGAAUUUAGAUGGUGAUUAGUAUGUAUCUUUAAAAAUUAUGUUAUUUUGUUUUAUAAGAAAAAAAUCUGUAUGAAUUAAAGAAAUUAAUUUACAAAAUAUCACUUUUAACAAAGUUGUACCAUUUUUCACGAAAUAUUU